UACGUAGGGUGCAAGCGUUGUCCGGAAUUAUUGGGCGUAAAGAGCUCGUAGGCGGCUUGUCACGUCGACUGUGAAAACCCGGGGCUCAACUCCGGGCCUGCAGUCGAUACGGGCUGGCUUGAGUGCGGUAGGGGAGACUGGAAUUCCUGGUGUAGCGGUGAAAUGCGCAGAUAUCAGGAGGAACACCGGUGGCGAAGGCGGCAUCCUGGACCAAUAUUGACGCUGAGGAGCGAAAGCUAGGGGAGCAAACGGG
rnacentral:rRNA from 1 species